rnacentral:lncRNA from 1 species
CUUCUUAACAACACUAUCAACAAGGCAGGUCCUACAGGCCCUAGUUUCUACCUUCUUAACAGCACUAUCAACAAGGCAGGUCCUACAGGCCCUAGUUUCUACCUUCUUAACAACACUAUCAACAAGGCAGGUCCUACAGGCCCUAGUUUCUACCUUCUCAACAACACUAUCAACAAGGCAGGUCCUACAGGCCCUAGUUUCUACCUUCUUACCAGCACUAUCAACAAGGCAGGUCCUACAGGCCCUAGUUUCUACCUUCUUAACAACACUAUCAACAAGGCAGGUCCUACAGGCCCUAGUUUCUACCUUCUUAACAACACUAUCAACAAGGCAGGUCCUACAGGCCCUAGUUUUGUCGCACCUGGACUACUGUUCAGUCGUGUGAUCAGGUGCCACAAGGAGGAAAAUUGCCAUUGGCUCGCACAGCUCAGGCUAGCACACAGCUCAGACACCCAUCCAUACCCCACAAGACAUGCCACCAGAGGUCUGUUUAAACUACUGGCACACAGCUCAGACACCCAUCCAUACCCCACAAGACAUGCCACCAGAGGUCUGUUUAAACUACUGGCACACAGCUCAGACACCCAUCCAUACCCCACAAGACAUGCCACCAGAGGUCUCUUCACAGUCCCCAAGUCCAGAACAGACUAUGGGAGGAGCACAGUACUACAUAGAGCCAUGACUACAUGAAACAAUAUUCCACAUCAGGUAACUGAUGCAGCAGGAGAAUCAGAUUUAAACAAAACAGAAUAAAAAUACAGCUUAUGGAACAACGGGGACUGAGAAGAGAGACAGACACAUGCAUAAACACACACACAAUAACAUACGCACUACUAUACAGAUAUGUGGUGGUAAAAUAUGUUGUGAAAUGUAUUAUAAUGUUUUUAAAAUUGUAUAACUAUGAUCGAAAAAGGCAAUCGCACGUCUGCGCUAUCUUUGUUCAGGUGCAUGGUUUCUCAUCUAAAAUUGUAUAAACUGCCUUAAUUCUGCUGGAGGAAGAGUAGCUGCUGCCUUGGCAGGAACUAAUGGGGAUCCAUAACAAACC